UCAAGAAGUGGGACCUACUCAUAGUCCAAGG
rnacentral:piRNA from 1 species